rnacentral:rRNA from 1 species
UACGGAGGGGGCUAGCGUUGCUCGGAAUUACUGGGCGUAAAGCGCACGUAGGCGGCUUUCUAAGUCGGGGGUGAAAUCCUGGAGCUCAACUCCAGACCUGCCUUCGAUACUGGAGAGCUCGAGUCCGGGAGAGGUGAGUGGAACUGCGAGUGUAGAGGUGAAAUUCGUAGAUAUUCGCAAGAACACCAGUGGCGAAGGCGGCUCACUGGCCCGGUACUGACGCUGAGGUGCGAAAGCGUGGGGAGCAAACAGG